AUCAAAACUCUUAUUUUCCAAAGAAACACUUGCAAUGAAGUAUCCUCUGGGUUAUAAAGUGAGAGUUUCUGCUUGCAGGGAGGCUGUAAACAUGCUGCACUUGCUGAUGAUUGAUUAGAGGAGCACAUUCCUGGCUUUUAAUUUGUUAUAAACAGGAAAUAACAAGCUAAUAGCACUGUUUUCAAAAACAACACACGAAUGGAAGAAUUAUCUAGACUGUUCUGGACUCUUACCUUGUUAUCUAAGAGUCUCCAUGUUUUUGUUGUGGCUGCAGGAUUCUUAAAGACGAGAAAUCAGGCGAGAAGAAGUUCUGACAAAAAAAAAACGACAGGAAGAGAGGAAAAAUCCCAACUGAUGCAGAGCAGAAAAUGUUCCCCAAAACAGUGUGUUCUGAUAUCCGGAAACUGCGCUCAGUCCGCAGAGAUCACAAACACAAGCUGUGUUCAGGCUGAGAGAUGUCCUCUUCUCCCAGGUGCAAUAAAUCCAGUGCUGCGUUCACGGACAGGAGCAAACUGCAGAAUGUGUUUCAGCAGGGGAAAGUUUUUCUCUGUCGCCCUGCUCUUUGCUCGUCUCUCCACAAACACUACAGAGAGGGAUCUGAGUUUCUCCCUCGAGCUGCGCCUCUGAUGUCAGCAAGAACGUGAGCUCCAGGAAGUGGUGACGCUCUCCGGUGGUGCGUUUCCAAGGCAGCAGCGUCACUGGAGGGAGCGCCGCCCCCCUGUGGACAGCUGGAGCAAGUUCAACCGUGGAGACGCACGAUAUACGGGUCACACCUCUGGUGCAGAGAUUGCAGCAGUUCAAGCAGAUGACCAUCACUUGUUGAGACAUUCUGUACACCCCUGCAGCUGCUGCAAGAUUCAUUUUAUCACAG